rnacentral:rRNA from 1 species
GAUGAACGCUGGCGGCGUGCCUAAUACAUGCAAGUCGAGCGAAGCGGGGACAGGUGAGUAACACGUGGUUAACCUCCUAUACGACUGGGAUAACUUCGGGAAACCGGAGCUAAACCGGAUAUUUGUGGUUGGUUCCUCGUUGCAUUGGCUAGUUGGUGAGGUAACGGCUUACCAAGGCAACGAUGCAUAGCCGACCUGAGAGGGGGAUCGGCAACACUGGAACUGAGACACGGUCCAGACUCCUACGGGAGGAAGCAGUAGGGAAUCUUCCGCAAUGGGCGAAAGCCUGACGGAGCAACGCCGCGUGAGUGAAGAAGGUUUUCGGAUCGUAAAACUCUGUUGUUAGAGAAGCGGUAUCUAACCAGAAAGCCACGGCUAACUACGUGCCAGCAGCCGCGGUAAUAC